UUCCUUCUGAACUUGCCUCUUCUGCUCUCCUU
rnacentral:piRNA from 1 species